rnacentral:rRNA from 1 species
UACGGAGGGUGCAAGCGUUAUCCGGAUUCACUGGGUUUAAAGGGCGCGCAGGCGGAUUGGUAAGUCAGUGGUGAAAUACCUGAGCUUAACUCGGGAACUGCCAUUGAUACUACCGGUCUUGAAUAUUGUUGAGGUAUGCGGAAUGGGUCAUGUAGCGGUGGAAUGCGCAGAUAUCAGGAGGAACACCAAUAGCGAAGGCAGCUCGCUGGGACGGUACUGACGCUAAGGCGCGAAAGCGUGGGGAGCGAACAGG